UACCAGCUCUUCGAGUGGUGUGGAUGUUUAUUGGGCCUAAAGCAUCCGUAGCUGGCUGGGCAAGUCCCCUGUUAAAUCCACCGAUUUAAUCGUUGGAGUGCGGGGGAUACUGUUCGGCUAGGGGACGGGAGAGGCAGACGGUAUUUUCGGGGUAGGGGUGAAAUCCUAUAAUCCCGGGAAGACCACCAGUGGCGAAGGCUGUCUGCUAGAACGCGCCCGACGGUGAGGGAUGAAAGCUGGGGGAGCGAACCGGAUUAGAUACCCGGGUAGUCCCAGCUGUAAACGAUGCAGGCUAGGUGUUUGGGCGGCCACGUGCCGCUCUAGUGCCGCAGGGAAGCCGUUAAGCCUGCCGCCUGGGGAGUACGGCCGCAAGGCUGAAACUUAAAGGAAUUGGCGGGGAGCACCACAAGGGGUGAAGCUUGCGGUUU
rnacentral:rRNA from 1 species